UACGGAGGGUGCAAGCGUUAUCCGGAUUCACUGGGUUUAAAGGGUGCGUAGGAGGGCAGGUAAGUCAGUGGUGAAAUCUCCGAGCUUAACUUGGAAACUGCCAUUGAUACUAUCUGCCUUGAAUAUUGUGGAGGUGAGCGGAAUAUGUCAUGUAGCGGUGAAAUGCUUAGAUAUGACAUAGAACACCAAUUGCGAAGGCAGCUCGCUACACAUAUAUUGACUCUGAGGCACGAAAGCGUGGGGAUCAAACAGGG
rnacentral:rRNA from 1 species